rnacentral:tRNA from 1 species
GGGGGAGUACCAGAGCGGUCAAAUGGGGCAGACUGUAAAUCUGUUGGCGCAGCCUUCGGAGGUUCGAAUCCUUCCUCCCCCACCA